rnacentral:misc_RNA from 1 species
GAUGAAGAACGUAGCGAAAUGCGAUAAUUAAUGUGAAUUGCAGAAUUCAGUGAAUCAUCGAGUCUUUGAACGCACAUUGCGCCCUCUGGUAUUCCGGGGGGCAUGCCUGUCCGAGCGUCAUUGCUGCCCUCAAGCACGGCUUGUGUGUUGGGCCCCCGUCCCGGUUCUUUAAGCCGGGACGGGCCCGAAAGGCAGCGGCGGCACCGUGUCCGGUCCUCGAGUGUAUGGGGCUCUGUCACCCACUCGUGUAGGUCCGGCCGGCGGCCAGCCUCUUCAACCAAACUUUUAACCAGGUUGACCUCGGAUCAGGUAGGGAUACCCGCUGAACUUAAGCAUAUCAAUAAGCGGAGGA